rnacentral:rRNA from 1 species
CCUAAAAAGUUCUAAAGAUAAAAGGUUUGGUCUUAGCCUUACUGUCAACUGUUUCUCAACUUACACAUGCAAGUCUCAGCAUACCCGUGAAAACGCCCUUCCACCUAAACCAACUGAAGGAGCCGGCAUCAGGCACAAAGCUCUGCCCAUGACGCCUAGUUUCACCACACCCACAAGGGUACUCAGCAGUGAUAAACAUUGUUAAUAAGCGCUAGCUUAAUCCAGUUAAAGAAAAUUAGAGCUGGCCAACCCGGUGCCAGCCGCCGCGGCUAAACCGCUAGGAGCCCAAGCUGACAACCAACGGCGUUAAGCGUGAUUAAAGAUUUUUACCAUUAGAGUCAAACCCCAAUUUAGUUGUGAUAAGCUUAUUGAUCAGGAAAACAAAAACGAAAGUUACUCUAACCCCCACCCCCUUGAAUACACGACAGCCAAGACACAAACUGGGAUCAG